rnacentral:rRNA from 1 species
AUUGAACGCUGGCGGCAGGCCUAACACAUGCAAGUCGAGCGAGCGGCGGACGGGUGAGUAAUGUCUGGGAAACUGCCUGAUGGAGGGGGAUAACUACUGGAAACGGUAGCUAAUACCGCAUACCAUCGGAUGUGCCCAGAUGGGAUUAGCUAGUAGGUGGGGUAAUGGCUCACCUAGGCGACGAUCCCUAGCUGGUCUGAGAGGAUGACCAGCCACACUGGAACUGAGACACGGUCCAGACUCCUACGGUAGGCAGCAGUGGGGAAUAUUGCACAAUGGGCGCAAGCCUGACGCAGCCACGCCGCGUGUGUGAUGAAGGCCUUCGGGUCGUAAAACUCUGUCAGUGGGGAGGCGUUACCUAAACAGGAAGCCCCGGCUAACUCCGUGCCAGCAGCCGCGGUAAUUC